GACGAACGCUGGCGGCGUGCUUAACACAUGCAAGUCGAACGAUGAAGCCUAGCUUGCUAGGUGGAUUAGUGGCGAACGGGUGAGUAAUACGUGAGUAACCUACCUUUAACUCUGGGAUAAGCCUGGGAAACUGGGUCUAAUACCGGAUACGACCAAUCUCCGCAUGGGGUGUUGGUGGAAAGCGUUAUGUAGUGGUUAUAGAUGGGCUCACGGCCUAUCAGCUUGUUGGUGAGGUAACGGCUCACCAAGGCGACGACGGGUAGCCGGCCUGAGAGGGUGACCGGCCACACUGGGACUGAGACACGGCCCAGACUCCUACGGGAGGCAGCAGUGGGGAAUAUUGCACAAUGGGCGCAAGCCUAAUGCAGCGACGCCGCGUGAGGGAUGACGGCCUUCGGGUUGUAAACCUCUGUUAGCAGGGAAGAAGAGAAAUUGACGGUACCUGCAGAGAAAGCGCCGGCUAACUACGUG
rnacentral:rRNA from 1 species